rnacentral:rRNA from 1 species
GACGAACGCUGGCGGCGUGCUUAACACAUGCAAGUCGAACGGAAAGGCCCUGCUUUUGUGGGGUGCUCGAGUGGCGAACGGGUGAGUAACACGUGAGUAACCUGCCCUUGACUUUGGGAUAACUUCAGGAAACUGGGGCUAAUACCGGAUAGGAGCUCCUGCUGCAUGGUGGGGGUUGGAAAGUUUCGGCGGUUGGGGAUGGACUCGCGGCUUAUCAGCUUGUUGGUGGGGUAGUGGCUUACCAAGGCUUUGACGGGUAGCCGGCCUGAGAGGGUGACCGGCCACAUUGGAAGUGACAUACGGCCCAGACUCCUACGGGAGGCAGCAGUGGAGAAUAUUGCACAAUGGGCGGAAGCAUGAUGCAGCAACGCCGCGUGCGGGAUGACGGCCUUCGGGUUGUAAACCGCUUUCGCCUGUGACGAAGCGUGAGUGACGGUAAUGGGUAAAGAAGCACCGGCUAACUACGUG